rnacentral:siRNA from 1 species
UUGGUGGCAUUUUGAAUGGUAUUC